rnacentral:rRNA from 1 species
UGCGGCGUGCCUAACACAUGCAAGUCGAGCGAGGAGAUCCUUCGGGAUGAUCCUAGCGGCGGACGGGUGAGUAACACGUGGGCAACCUGCCUCAUAGAGAGGAAUAGCCUUCCGAAAGGGAGAUUAAUACCUCAUAACAUUGCAGUUUCGCAUGGAACAGCAAUUAAAGGAGCAAUCCGCUAUGAGAUGGGCCCGCGGCGCAUUAGCUAGUUGGUGAGGUAACGGCUCACCAAGGCGACGAUGCGUAGCCGACCUGAGAGGGUGAUCGGCCACAUUGGGACUGAGACACGGCCCAGACUCCUACGGGAGGCAGCAGUGGGGAAUAUUGCACAAUGGGGGAAACCCUGAUGCAAGCAACGCCGCGUGAGUGAUGACGGCCUUCGGGUUGUAAAGCUCUGUCUUCAGGGACGAUAAUGACGGUACCUGAGGAGGAAGCCACGGCUAACUACGUGCCAGCCGCUGC